UCACUGGUCCCUACACUCAUCUAUUUUAGUGAUUUCAUUUUUAUAUAUAAAAAAAAAAAGUAUGUGUUUGAAUUAACACAGAUUUAGAGCUGCCACAUUCUUUUUUAUUUCUGUAUAAAGCUACAUGUAACACUUGUAUUUCCUGUCUCUGUUCUUUUAAUGUUUUGUUUUUGCCAAAUACAGAGUUCUUCAGAACACUGAUGUAGACUUUUUUUCACACACUUUACUAAGA